GAUAGAAUUUUAGAAAGGGAAAACACAUUUAAAUUUAAAACAUUAAAACAUGUCUUCUCAACCGAGUUAUGAAGAAUCAUCAAAAUCCCUUUGAAUAUAUGUUACCAAAAUCAGCAAGUCAGGUGCUGAUGCUGGAGUAACUCAAUCGCCCUCAAUGUUACCUACACAAAAAUAGGUCGUGUAUGCAAAAUAAUCCCAAACACUCCACAUCUGUGAUGGCCAUUUCAUGGUUCAUCCAAGUUUUCGAGUUGCUCUCCACCUGAAAAUUUUUAUGCUUUAGGUUGUUGCAAAUAAUGGCAUAUCAAAAUAUAAAUUUAAAUAAAUAUUUCCAGAAUACUAGUUUUCGCGGGAGUAAAUUAUGGAUAAGAGCCCCCUUCUACAUCAUGAACAAUCAAUUCAAGGGAAGUAAAUAAAUAUUUCCAGAAUACUUGUUUUCCCGUGAGUAAAUUAUGGAUAGAAGCCCCCUUCUACGUCGUGAACAAUCAAUUCAAGGGAAUUGCAAAUGCAGCAAGCUGCAUUGCAGGUCAAGUGUUCUUUUUACCUUCUUAGCCCCUAUUUUGUAGAGCUGAAAAUCAGAUUUUAAGUGAUUUUCGAUAAAAGUUGAUGAAACAUGCAAUUAAAAAGUUGAUAAAAAUUAUGAAUCACAUUAAAUGUACGAUUGAAAACGAGUUCAAGAAAAAAAAUGAAUUUUGAGAAAUUGGAACCUAACAGGGGCUUAUUCCAAAGAGUGAAAAAAUAAAACAAUUCAAUAAUCAGCGUGUACAAUAAAUAGUACACCAUAUGAACAAUCUUUCAAAUUCUUUUUACUUGUUUAAUAUUACUAUUAUCCAAUCCCAUUCGUGUAUAAAAUCCUGCAUGUGUUCAUAAAAAGAAAUCAACAGCCCGUUAUUAAUUAAUCUAUUCAGCAUAGAGAAGCAACAAUAAACAAACUUAAGACCAUUUUGCAAAUCACUCGACAUUACGUCUCCAUGGCAGCAUUCUAUGCCUAUCCAAUUGUAUUAAAUCAUACUUCGGAUUCAUGAUCUCUUGAAGAAAUGACCAAAAUCCGUACAUUCAAUUCUCACCAUUCAAAAUAUGCAUAGUUCCCCUACAACAUUUGGAAUUAAAAAAAAAAAUUAAAAAAAAAUAAUAAUAAUUCUCCCAAUAAUAGAACGAUAUUCAAACGUUUGCAUCAAUCAACUGAAGAAGACCUUGUCCCUACCGGUAGUUACCAUGCCUAAGGAACCUAAACAGUAAAUGAAAACCUCCAACAACCGAAAAAGAAAAAGCAAAACAUAAAUUGUAAACAACUAACAAUCCCAAGAAAAAAGGAUAUUGCUACAUGUACAUCAAGGUUUACAUAAAAGAUUAUGUAAUUUCCAUAUAAGACUCUAUCAUUUACCAAUUGAAAACACAGUCAAUUUUUUCAUCCAUGUUUUUCCCCCCACAUCAUUUUGGUAACCGCUUAUGUACCAUUUUAUGUAAAGUAGCAAAAUCCAGAAAAUAAACACAAGGGAAGAAGAGUCUGAUUAAUAAUUUUUGUUCUGUGUUGACGAAAGUUUCGUUCUGCUAUCUUCCUCUUUACACUAAAUUACACAAACAACACAAUGAUAAGUGAAAUAUCGGCUGGGCAAGUAUUGAAACCCCAUUUCUCCACAAUUUUAAAAUUUUGAUGUUUAUAUUACUUGUUUAUGGAAGAAUUGCUUAUUUGGCAAAUGAAAACUAGGGAUCACAAGGAAAAACACAAUAAAAAAAUAUCCGCUGGGCAAGUACUCGAGACCACGUACCACACAACUCAUAGAAUCUCCGAAUACAAAGCACCAAAUAAGACACUGGAAUGAAAAAUCAAGCACACCGGCUUUCCUGUAGCCAGAAACUUCACAACCCUCUCAGAAAUGAACGUUGUCAUGAUUCAAAAUAUAUUAAAUAUGUGAAAAACGAAGGAAAAAGAAAAAGAAAAAUAUAGAAUAAAAAGAGAUCAAAAUCUAAAAACUUAAUGCGGCACGGCCUCCAUGUUCAUGACACUUUUUCCCUUCCAGAAACAAACAUGCAAAAAAAUAAAGACUAAUACUUUGGGAUGACAAAGAAAUAGAAAAGGACUAAAAAUUACAUAAUCGCGUCAUUAUUAAUCCUUUUCAGCCGCUACUGUCCAUCUGCCAAACAGAAAAUACUCUCCCUCGGAAACAAGUAAUGUAAACAUCAAAUAAGAGUUGGGGAGGAAAAGGGUUUCAAAACCAAUAUUUCACAAUCAAUCAAAGAAAUAAAAUACUCGAACUUUCACAAACAGAAAAAAAGGAAAAAAAAGUAAAAAUAUGUAAAUAACAGAUACAUAACUUAGGGUGUGUUUGAUUAUAUUUAUUUUCCAUGGAAAAUAUCAGUUUUCCACCCAAAUUCCUACUUAGAGUGUUUGAUUGCUAUUUUUUUUCAUGGAAAAUAUUUUCCAGCUUUUGAAAAUAUGUCUAAUUUUCCUUGUUUUUAAGGAAAACAUUUUCUUUGGGUAGAGGUAGUUUUUAUUUUCCACAAAAGAUGGAAAAUAUUUUCUUUUUUAGGUAAUAUUUUCCAUGUCAAUCAAACACACUCUUAUAGUCAAAUACCAGAUAAGAACAAAAACCAUUAUCAGAUAGAUAUAUUCUCACAAACCAUUCUCUAUGGAGAAAAAUAUUACCUGUUAAUAGAGAUAAAAUCUAGUGAUGGCAACGGAGCGGAUUCGGGGUGGACGGUGGGGGAAGGCAAAUUUUU
rnacentral:lncRNA from 1 species